CCUACGGGUGGCAGCAGUGAGGAAUAUUGGUCAAUGGACGCAAGCCUGAACCAGCCAUGCCGCGUGCGGGAAGACGGUACUGCGUAUCGUAAACUUCUUUUGUCCGGGGACAAAGGCGGGUACUCGUCUCCGGCUGAGGGUAUCUGACGAAAAAGCAUCGGCUAACUCCGUGCCAGCAGCCGCGGUAAUACGGAGGAUGCGAGCGUUAUCCGGAUUUAUUGGGUUUAAGGGGUGCGCAGGCGGCCGGUUAAGUUAGCGGGAAAAGCCCGGGGCUCAACCCCGGCGUGCCGUUGAAACUGGCGGGCUGGAGUGGAGGAGAGGUACGCGGAAUGCGCGGUGUAGCGGUGAAAUGCUUAGAGAUCGCGCAGAACCCCGAUUGCGAAGGCAGCUUACCGGGCCCACACUGACGCUGAGGCACGAAAGCGUGGGGAGCGAACAGGAUUAGAUACCCGGGUAGUC
rnacentral:rRNA from 1 species